UUUGACUGUAUUAUAUAUAUCUCACGCAGAGAUAUAAACUAUGUAACUGCAUUUUAUUUUAAAAGUAAGAAAUACAGUAUAAAUCCAUCAAUGAAAUAUUCAUAAUAUAAAUGCAGUUAUAUUUUUUAUAUUUAGACGUGAGAUUCUUAAUUAUUGGAAAAAAACAACAUUCAUAUUUAUUUAAGAACAUAUUCUAUAAUUAAAAUAUUUAAAUUUAUAGGAUGGUGAAGGAAUUUGGUGCUCAUAAUAAUACUGUGCAAAUAAAGAGACUGUUAAAAGUUCUUGUACAAGACUUUGCAACUUCCCCCAGUUUACAGAUAUUUUUGCUGCUUUAGUAAAUUGGCCUAUGAUUUCGAGCAGAAUAAAAUAUGUUACUGAAUUACUUGAUAGAUUAAUGGAGGAUAUUAUGAUAGAAAGUGGUCUCUUUGAUUUAUUUGGAUUUAUGGCUUUAUCGAGGAUUUUUCAGAUUGGAAGAUCCAACGUCAGAGAUAAAGAUUGCGCAGCAUAAAGACCAAAGGUGGAGUUUUCAACCAUGAUAAAUAUUACAUAUGCUCAAAGUUCAGACAAAUUACUUCAAUUGACUGCCAUCACGUUAAUAAAAAUGUUUGUACAAUUAUCUGGGCUUCUUAUGCUUCUAUAUAUGUCUGGCAU